rnacentral:misc_RNA from 1 species
ACAAAUCAAAGACACGGAGUCGUCUGCGGACGAUGACGCCGAGGAUGUGCGCAAGCACUAGGAAAGGUCGAAGCACGAGCUUCGGCCGAUGUGCGGCAACGCACAUAUACACACGAUUCAUGUUGACACACAGAGACACAACACA